GUGGUCACCCCUCAGAGAAGAUGCUGGGCUCCUGGGGACCCAGGACUCCAGAGAAUGAAGAAGCCAUGCAAGGUCCAGAUUCCUUAAAGCUGCUGUUCUUCCUCCAGAAAGUAAAAUCAGAGAGACCUCAGAGGAGGAUAUUAGAAAAGUCCCAUAUGAAACAGGACUGUGCAGACCAGAGGUGGGGACCAGCUGGUCUCAGUCCUUGGAACCAGGAGCCUGUCAGGAAGCCACGGAGUUGAAAGCUCGCCGUGGAGCAGGUUCUUUUGACACAAGUGUUGAGACAAGAAUGCGUGUGCAAUUCAUUAAGGAAGAGCUCCUGGGAGGAUGCCAAAGGAGAGAUGGGGAGGUUACAAAGACCCCAUGGUCCCUACGCUGGAGUAAAUUGCAGUGCAGCAGGAAGAUGGGUCAGUAGCUGACCAUAAACAGUGCGAUCAAUGCUAUAUGAUGAAAUCAUUCUAGAAGCCCACAGGAAGGACAAUGGACUCUGCCCAGGUGUUUGGAGUAGGCUUCCAGAGCGGGGAACAGUUGAAUUCAAUUGACAAGAUUCCCAUGAGUGGAGACAAAGUAGGGCUGGAGACACUCCAGGAAAAAAGGAGCAGAACAAAUAAGCUGAUUUGAAAAACCAAGUGCUCUGACCUCUGGGACAGCUUAACAAUGAAGCUUUCACCUUAGGCUCACAGCAAAAAUCUCGAGAAAAAAAAGAUUGCAUUAAAGAAUCAUUCAGGGUGUUAAUCAUUAGUAUGAAAGAGUGUGAGUCUAGUUUUCCCUAGAAUGACCUCAUGGGACAGAAGGUUACCCUUCUCUUGAUAACA